CAGCAGCCACGGGAAUACGUAGGUGGCAAGCGUUGUCCGGAAUUACUGGGCGUAAAGGGAGCGUAGGCGGGUCGUUUAGUCAGAGGUGAAAUCCCGGGGCUCAACCUCGGAACUGCCUUUGAUACUGGCGACCUUGAGUAUGGGAGAGGUAAGUGGAACUCCGAGUGUAGAGGUGAAAUUCGUAGAUAUUCGGAAGAACACCAGUGGCGAAGACGACUUACUGGCCCAUUACUGACGCUGAGGCUCGAAAGCGUGGGGAGCAAACAGGAUUAGAUACCCGAGUAGUCCCUGUCUCUUAUAA
rnacentral:rRNA from 1 species